AAGUCGUAACAAGGUUUCCGUAGGUGAACCUGCGGAAGGAUCAUUACAAAUCUCUGAUAAUCACGAUCGUGAGGAAUAGUGUAGUGUAGUGUAAUCUCUCUAUAUUAUUCUCACAUCGAAUCCUAUAUUUAUCCUUACCUAUUGACACUUGUAUUUUACAACCAAACCAAGAAUACCUUUUAACAAUGGAUCUCUUGGCUCUU
rnacentral:misc_RNA from 1 species